rnacentral:lncRNA from 1 species
GAAGAUGUGAUGCAGAGAAGUUAAAGGACUUACCAAAGAGCACAGUUAGGAAAUUGAAUGAUCAAAAAUUCAAAUCCAGAUUAAUCUUAUUUCAAUGCCGAUAUUUUUGUUCUAUUUCUCUACAGUGCAUUCUUGGGAUUCGUCAGUUACUUACUAAUCGAUAAUUUAAUUGGAAUGCAUUAUAAACCAGAGUAUUCAGACUUUCUGAAACCAUGAAAAUUUCCUAAGAUGGGAAAAACAUCCACAGAAGAUUUGGAAGUCAAGCAGCAGCCUUGCUCUCUGAAGAUGGUGGUGGCAGAAGCAGUGACAGACAGCAACGACAGGUAUCCUUGUUCUGUAUUCUACAUCCCUCUUUCCUUCCUGUGGACCAAUGGUGGCCUCCAGGCCAAACCAGAUGCUGGAACACUGAUACACCAUUUUUCACAUAGAUAUUUCUAAUACAACCCACUUUGUAGCGCUCCGUUGGGCAGGUGGGUGAUUGGGGCCUCUCAGAUGUAAUGGUGACUCACCUAAUAUCCCAACUGCUCCUUUUAGACCUUCACUUCCCUAGUUCCUCCUAUAAUUAAUUUUUAUAUUAAUAUCCUUAUUCCGUAACUCACAUCUGCUUCCCAAAUUGAACCCUAAUUCAGUUACAUAACAAUAAUCAUAACAGCCCCUAUAUAGUGUGCAUAUAUAUAUACAUAUUUUAUUUUUUAUGUUUUUAAUUUUUUUGAGACAGAGUCUCGCUCUGUUGCCCAAGCUGGAGUGCAAUGGCAGAAUCUCAGCUCACUGUAACCUCCACCUCCCAGGUUCAGGCAAUUCUCAUGCCUCAGCCUCCCGAGUAGCUGGGAUUAUAGGCGUGCGCUACCACACCUAGCUAA